AACGAACGCUGGCGGCAUGCCUAACACAUGCAAGUCGAACGAGACCUUCGGGUCUAGUGGCGCACGGGUGCGUAACGCGUGGGAACCUGCCCUUAGGUUCGGAAUAACUCCCCGAAAGGGGUGCUAAUACCGGAUAAUGUCUUCGGACCGAAGAUUUAUCGCCUUUGGAUGGGCCCGCGUUGGAUUAGCUAGUUGGUAGGGUAAAAGCCUACCAAGGCGACGAUCCAUAGCUGGUCUGAGAGGAUGAUCAGCCACACUGGGACUGAGACACGGCCCAGACUCCUACGGGAGGCAGCAGUGGGGAAUAUUGGACAAUGGGCGAAAGGCUGAUGCAGCACUGCCGCGUGAGUGAUGAAGGCCUUAGGGUUGUAAAGCUCUUUUACCCGGGAUGAUAAUGACAGUACCGGGAGAAUAAGCUCCGGCUAACUCCGUG
rnacentral:rRNA from 1 species